GACGAACCGUACGAGCGUUGUCCGGAAUCACUGGGCGUAAAGGGCGUGCAGGCGGUUUGUUAAGUCUGUCGUGAAAGCCCCGGGCUCAACCUGGGAAUGGCGAUGGAUACUGGCUCGCUAGAGUGCGGUAGAGGAGAGUGGAAUUCCCGGUGUAGCAGUGAAAUGCGUAGAGAUCGGGAGGAACAUCAGUUGCGAAGGCGGCUCUCUGGACCAGCACUGACACUGAGGCACGAAAGCGUGGGGAGCAAACAGG
rnacentral:rRNA from 1 species